rnacentral:lncRNA from 1 species
ACCCCCAUACCCUGUGGCAUGUCUGCUAUCUCAUAGAUGGACAAAUAUAGGAGUUGAGCCAGACCGCUCGAUCCCACCUUCAUCAUGAAUUGUGUCCACUUUGACCAAAGAUCGACUCGGAGAAGUCUCCUGCGAUAAUAGAAACUUCACUUUGUGACAUCAUCUCUCGUCCUCUCGAGUCUCUCAUCCAGUGCUGCCCGAUCUACCUCUACUUGAAGCUCCACCUCGCUCUAGACUCUUCCUGACUCCUAAAGCUCCACCUCGCAUAAAGGCUUCCCACUAGGUAGUAAUAUCCUCUUAUCCUUUUUUUUCUUCAAAAUAAUCAUAUUGCCAUAUAACACCUUCAGGAUUCCUCCACCAGC